CUACUUUUCCUUCUACUUACAUGAGAGAGGAAUGCAAAGUCAAUUUUUUCCCAAUGUGGAUAAAAGAUCCACAAUUUAUUCCUGGUUUGAUGUUCUAUUUUUUCUUUCCUUCCAAUUUGAGUGCCAGGAAGGAAAUAUAGUGUCUUUUUCAUUGUUCCUUAUCUCAUCCAACCAACCAAAGUGGAAGAAAUCAGUAAUCUUUCCUUAUUUUUCAACCCCCUUUUCACUAAUCUCUCUAAAUAAGCAAGCAUUUGUUAGGACCCAAACUCAUGAGGCCUAACUUGGGUGCUUGGUGACAGAAAUUGUGAGAAAACAAGAGGAAUCUGGGACAAAGAAGAGAGGGAGAGGAGACAAGAGAAGGCAGGGAAGAAGAGAUAAGUAACAAAGAUAUCUGGAGAAGACUUCCGCUAUUAUUCUUUGUUAUAGAUUAUAGGAAGUAAAUAUAUUAAUAUAGGAAGUAAAUAUUGAUAGAUGGGUUAGUCCCUUAAUCUUAGGGAUUGUAUAAUUAUAGACUUGAUUUUCUUUCCUGUUUAGAUACCGUCUUUUAUAUAUAAAUAGAUUGUAAUCUUUAUUAUGAAAUACAACAUCAAAUAUUAUAUUUCUACAUGGUAUCAGAGCCAGGUUUGUGGAGAUUUAUUUUCUCUCUCGUCAAGUUUUAAAUUUUUGGAGACUCAGGACUACUGUUCUUUUGUGUUAUCCAUCUAGGAUAAUAUUUGUCUCUCACCGUUCACCUAGAGAGGAUGUCAAAGUUGCAUUGCAGCUCCCUUGUCAGAUGUGUGAUUCGUUUGCCGUUUGGGUGUUGGGUGAAUGCGUCUUUUUGAUAUUAUUCAUCUAGGAUAAUAUUUGUCUCUCACCGUUCACCUAGAGAGGAUGUCAAAGUCGCAUUGCAGCUCUCUUGUCAGAUGUGUGGUUCGUUUGCCGUUUGGGUGUUGGGUGAAUGCGUCUUUUUGAUAUUAUUCAUUUGGGUUACCCAUAAAGAGUAACUUUUGGAGUAACUUUUGGAGACUUAGGGCUCUAUUUAUUUGGGUUACCUAUAAAAGAGUAACAUUUGGAGACUUAGGGUUCUGUUCAUUUGGGUUACUCAUUUGGAGACUUAGGGCUCUAUCAUUUGGGUUACUCAUAAAGGGUAACAUUUGGAGACUUAGGGCUCUAUUCAUUUGGGUUACUCAUAAAGGAUAACAUUUGGAGACGUGGCACUCUGUUCAUUUGGGUUACUCAUAAAGAAUAACAUUUGGAUCUGUUCAUUUGAGUUACUCAUAAAGAGUAACAUUUGGAUCUGUUCAUUUGGGUUACUUAUAAAGAGUAACAUUUGGAUCUGUUCAUUUGGGUUACUCAUAAAGAGUAACAUUUGGAGGCUUAGGGCUCUGUUCAUUUAAGUUAUUCACAAAGGGUAAUAUUUAGAAACUUAGGGUUCUGUUCAUUUGGGUUACUCACGUAGAGCUCUAUUCAUUUGGGUUACUCAUAAAGGGUAACAUUUGGAGGCUUAGGGCUCUAUUCAUUUGGGUUACUCAUAAAGGGUAACAUUUGGAGAUUUAGGUUUAUGUUCAUUUGGGUUAUCCAUAAAGGGUAACACUUGGAUUCAUCGGGGUACUGUUCACGAGUACUGUUCAUCGGGGGUACUGUUCACGAGUACCGUUCCUCGGGUACUGUUCACGAGUACCGUUCAUAGGGUACUGUUCACGAGUAAUGUUCACGGAUUCGAAAUUAUAUUCACAGUAAGGCGUUUUACCAAGCUGAGAAAAUGUGGUCUACUGUUCUAGUGCUGAAUCUAAAUGUCGAGUCAUGGCAAAAACUGUUUGUGAAGUUUUGUGGGUACGUCAAUUAUUGGAAGAAGUUGGGUUUACAAAUUCGGUGUCUGUUAAGUUGUAUGGGACGAGUUGAUUAUAUAUGUAACAAGUUGGGCAUGAUUAACAUUUAUGCUCCAACUUGAGGGGGAGUGUUAUAGAUUAUAGGAAGUAAAUAUAUUAAUAUAGGAAGUAAAUAUUGAUAGAUGGGUUAGUCCCUUAAUCUUAGGGAUUGUAUAAUUAUAGACUUGAUUUUCUUUCCUGUUUAGAUACCGUCUUUUAUAUAUAAAUAGAUUGUAAUCUUUAUUAUGAAAUACAACAUCAAAUAUUAUAUUUCUACAUUCUUCAUGUGAUUUCCUAGUAAUACUAACUGAAUCAAGUCGUCAUGCAAAAAUGUUUCCUCACAAUGUCCAGGGAGGAAGGGACAUCCUGCAAAUACUUAUAUUACAUCCAUUGCUAUGAGGAAAGACUUCAAAGAAGAGAAAGACAAUUUUUUUUCUCCAUGUCACAUGUUAUUCCUGUUUCGAUGUUCUCUCUCUCUCUAUAUAUAUAUACAUUUUUUUUUUUUUCCCCAAUUUGAGUGCCAUAAAGGAAAGAGGGGAUCCGUUUUUUGUGAUUACUUCACUCCAUACGACCAACAAAAAUGAAAGAAACUACUAUCUUUUCCUACAUUUUUCAAGCCCCCAUUUUCACCCAUCUCUCUAAACAAGCAAGCUCAUGUGUGCCUGACUUGGGUGUAUGGGGACAAAGAAGUGGUGAGAAAACUAAAAAUAAAAGAGAGGAAUUUGAGACAAAGAGAGGGAGAGGCUAUGGAGAGUAGAGAAUAGAGGGUAGGGGACAGAAAACUAACAAAGAUAUUUGGAAUAGAUUCCUGAUUAUUCUUCAUGCAAUUUUCUAGUAACACUCAUUCUACUAAAUAAGACAAGUCGCUAAGAAAAUGUCUCCUCACAAGGUCCAGGGACAUCCUGAAAAUUGGCAUUGUGUCCAAUGUUGAUAGAGUAAAGAGUGAGAGUUUUAUCAAGGAGACACAAGAGAGAAAGAGAGACCAUUUAUAUUAAUUGGUUGAAUAACUUCUCAAACGCAAAUACAAAUCAAGUUUCUCGAGAAGGAAGAUGAUGACUCACUCUUAGACUGCCCUUACCAUACAAAAUAAAGAAAAGAAAAAAUGGCUGUAAACAGCUCCAAGAGUAAGACACUCUCCCCUGCAAAAGGAAGACCUUCUGCCCUCUCUAGAGUAGAGAAAAAUGUACUGAGAAAAGAUGCCUGAUUCUCUGCCCAACUCCUCCUUAAAAACUGGAGGGGAAUCUUCCCAAUUAACUAAUUCCUGCCACUUGUCCUUACCCAUUAUUCCCAAAAUCUGCCAGCUGUAUGACUAUCAAUUGUGUGCACUCUGUUUCUUCCUUCUCCUGAAAUAUACCUUAAAAUUUCUUGUUUUUGAGCCCUCAGCCUUAUCAAAUGUACUAUUGAGGAAAGACUUGAAAGAAAUGUAUCCCCAUAAAGUAUAUCAUGCAUAUCAAGGAUUCGGGACUAAGCUGAGAAAGAGAAACCUCAGAUGAUGGCUGCUUUAACCAAGUACAACAGUGUAAUGAAAAUAAUUUUUGUAGCAACAAAAUUCAAGCAGAAAAAUGUCUUAACAUAAGAGAUAAAGCAAAAAAGAAAGGGCAAG
rnacentral:lncRNA from 1 species